UGGGGAAUUGUUCGCAAUGGGCGCAAGCCUGAUCCAGCCAUGCCGCGUGAGUGACGAAGGCCUUAGGGUUGUAAAACUCUUUCGUCGGGGACGAUAAUGACGGUACCCGAAGAAGAAGCUCCGGCUAACUUCGUGCCAGCAGCCGCGGUAAUACGAAGGGAGCUAGCGUUGUUCGGAAUCACUGGGCGUAAAGCGCACGUAGGCGGAUAGUUAAGUCAGGGGUGAAAUCCUGGGGCUCAACCCCAGAACUGCCUUUGAUACUGGCUGUCUCGAGGUCGAGAGAGGUUGGUGGAAUUCCUAGUGUAGAGGUGAAAUUCGUAGAUAUUAGGAAGAACACCAGUGGCGAAGGCGGCCAACUGGCUCGAUACUGACGCUGAGGUGCGAAAGCGUGGGGAGCAAACAGGAUUAGAUACCCCCGUAGUCCCUGAGCGGGCUGGCAAGGCGCAU
rnacentral:rRNA from 1 species